UACGUAGGGGGCUAGCGUUAUCCAGAUUUACUGGGCGUAAAGCGCGUGUAGGCGGCUGGGUUAGGUGUGAUGUGAAAUCCUCGGGGCUCAACCCCGAGAACUGCAUUGCAAACCGGCCUGGCUAGAGGUGCAGGAGAGGGAAGCGGAAUUCCUGGUGUAGCGGUGAAAUGCGCAGAUAUCAGGAGGAACACCGGUGGCGAAGGCGGG
rnacentral:rRNA from 1 species